CAAUAGCGUAUAUUUAAGUUGUUGCAGUUAAAAAGCUCGUAGUUGGAUUUCGGGUGGGAGGCGUCGGUCUCCGUUUCGGUAGUACUGACGACUCCUGCCUUGCUGUCGGGGACGCACUCUCUGGCUUUACUGUCGGAGGUGCGGGACCGGCGACGUUACUUUGAGUAAAUUAGAGUGUUCAAAGCAAGCCUACGCUCUGAAUAUAAUAGCAUGGGAUAACACGACAGGACUCUGGCCUAUCGUGUUGGUCUGUAGGACCAGGGUAAUGAUUAAGAGGGACAGUCGGGGGCAUCCGUAUUCCGUUGUCAGAGGUGAAAUUCUUGGAUUUGUGGAAGACGAACUACUGCGAAAGCAUUCGCCAAGGAUGUUUUCAUUAAUCAGUGAACGAAAGUUAGGGGAU
rnacentral:rRNA from 1 species